CUCCCUGAUGCUCUGGCGCAAGGGGACGGUCAUCUCGUUGGCCCCCUGCAGAGCUGAGCACCGAGCUGCCGGCCGCCAGCCCAGGGGCUGAAGGCUCCAGCAAGGACGCACGCCUCGGCGUCUCCCCUUGCCGCUUAGGAGAAUCAUGCUGAAGCCGACCCUUCUGUUUCCAGAGCGGGGUGCUGCCCAUCAGCGGCGCCGGCGUCUCUCUCCAGCUGCGAGGCUGCUCAGUGCUGUUGGUUUGCUGCAUCAUGCGCGGCUCCCAUCAGCAGGGAGACAGGGGCGGGGUUGCAUUUGGAACAGGCACAGGGGAGUAAUACCGCCUGACCGGCACGUCAGGAUGUGCCAGCCGUGAACUAGACGGCGUCCUUCUCCAGAAACUCUGGGGCACAGCACUGGGGGGUCCUGGCACUGGGGGCUCCUGGCAUUGAGGGGGUCCUGGCAUUGGGAGUUCUCUGGUAUCGGGAGUCCUGGCACUGCGGGACCCCUGGCACUGGGGAGCCCCUGGCACUAGAUUUGAAGCCAGAUCGUUGGAGCAGCUGACAAUCAGAGCGUGUUCUUCAGGAUUGCUCACAGAAAUUUGUGUUUCUCUCUCCUCCCAGAAACACACAAGGCAGCCGCGAAGUUUACUGUCCAUGCAAGGACCCACUUGAGAGCGGAUGGCCGUGCCAACCAGAUGGAACGCCCGGACAGCAGGUGUAAACCAGGACAUCCUGGCAAACAGGUGAGGACACAGAUGUGCAGAGACCCAGCACCUCGACCCUCUGAUCUCAAGGUGAGAGGGUGGAGGCAGCUCACUCUGCUCUUCAGAUUUAACGGGACUUUUCACUGCAUUGCAGUCACCAACCCUGACUGUUGUCCUCCAGUCUCGUCAAGCGCCCACUGGGUCAUCCAGGCAACCAUUCUCCAGCAGAAAUCCCUCCUGUGCCUGAUGUGUAGGUGGACAUUAGGCCUCACUGAAUUACAUGGGCUGAUGGCGCUCAGUUUUCUUUUAGUUACAAUGCAAUUCAAAAUGUGAAUAAAGGCUCAAGAAAUAGGAAAUGCGGUCUGAACAAUAACGAAAGCUAAGAUAUUGAGUAAUAUCGCCAUGCUCUGUUCUGUGAGGACUCGGUCCUCAUAACAACCCCAAGAGGUAGGGACUAUUAUUAUUCCCAUUUUAUAGGCACAGACAGGUUAAGUAACUUGCACAAGAUUGCACAGCUCAUAAGUGGAGAAGCCAGCAUUUGAAUCCAGCAAUAGGGUAGGUCUGUUUCUCGCAAAUGCCAAAUACAGCAAGACUUUCAAUCUUCCUGUAUGCUUCUUUCUUAUCGCACUUUAGAAAAGAAUUCACCAAAAAUACCAGAAUUGAAAUCAGGCAUGAGCAGUAGUUCAAACGAGAGGUUCACAUCCAAUGAGUUCUACUCGUAGGCAGAGGGGAAAGGAAAAACUAAAAAGACUGAAAAUAUAAAGAAGAGAAAGGAAAGUGCUGGGGCCGGCCCCACGGUGCAGCGUUAAGUACGCACGUUCCACUUCGGCAACCCGGGGUUUGCCGGUUUGGAUCCCGGGUGUGGACAUGGCACCGCUUGGCAUGCCGUACUGUGGUAGGCGUCCCACAUAUAAAGUAGAGGAAGAUGGGCACGGAUGUUAGCUCAGGGCCAGUCUUCCUCAGAGAGAAGAGGAGGAUUGGCAGCAGUUAGCUCAGGGCUAAUCUUCCUCAAAAAAAACAAAAGAAGUAGUGGCAAAUUAAGCCCAUUAAGUCACAGGCUGCGAAGAGACAAGGAAUCUUUAUUAAUCACCAGCAGAGGACAUGACCUAGGAGACUCUGCCAGGAGAAAGGCAGUCAGAGCACCCACGGUUCUCCGGGUGGGGGCUCGGAGCCAGUGGGUUUGCACUAGCGUGGUUACUGCAUCCUGCACUCCUAGAAUGACUCACGCAGACCAUGGCGCCUCGAGAACUAGGGGUUACAGACAGUACCGAAUCACAGUCCCGGGGAAAGGAGUUUGUCCGUUUCCACACACAUCUGCACCUGACCCAUACGUCUAUCUUGUCCAAGGAUCCCCAAGGGAGGGCAUCCCACCAACUUUCCUUGCCAUUCUAUGCCAACAAUCACCAUUUUUUUCUUUAUGUUUAUCCUUAUUAGUGUCCAUUCCUUCUUCGGCUCUGUUUGUGGAGAGAUAGCUAAGGUGGUUUGCAUUUUCCUGUGGCAAGCACAUCUCAGAAAGUCCAAAUGGCACAGUUUCCCUCCGUUAAUUUUCACUUAGAUCUUAACCUUCUCAUUUUAUUUCACUUGGACUCUGGAUAGCCAAGUAGAAAUAAUGCUUGGCGGCCUUUGGGCAGGACACCGGCUGCUUCUCCACCCCUUCUCCUGUGGUUUAGUGAACCACACAGUCCGGUUCUGCAAUAUCCUUGUUUCUGGACUUCUAACCUCCUUCCCAGCAGGGAGAUGAUUCAUGCUAAAAGCCACGUCUUACACCAAGGCUUACUGGGCACACCAAAUGCUCAUUCAAAUGGCAACAUCUGUCCUUGGAACCCAAGGUUAAAUUUAGUUAAAGACGUCCCAACUCUGCCCCCAGCCCUCUUCAGUUCCAUCCGCUUUACUUUCCUGAAGAUGUGACGAGAAAGAUUUCAGAAGUGAGCACGACGGUGCGUCCCAGUUCUCUGGGCAGAGCUGCACCCGGCGCUGGGACUCUAUGAUGCUCUGAAGGAGGCAUGACCGUGCAGUGGGCUUACAACAAACUCACCGUUGGCAGAAGCUUCCAUGUCACCACUUUGGCCCUGGUAAAAGCAGAUUUCACGGCAGCACAGGGACGGGCUACAGUGGGAGGUGAGGAGGCAGUAAGGAGAACUUUCUUUAAUGUUCUCCAGAUCUGUCAAACCAAGCUUUGCUCUGUGCUGCCAUGCCACCCAGACGUCUGGGUGGUAACUCAGACUUUGAAGUUGUCACUACUCCUAGCUUGAUGGCUUGGAGGAGGCCCAGGAACUACAGGAACUUAAGGCUCAUACAAUCACUUGUGCGGGACCUGCGUUCUCAGCCUCCGCCCACUCAGCCUGCCAGCCGCCCAGGUCACAGCCAAGUCCGAUUGCUGCCCAUGCCUCCUGGAAAAAGCAAGAAACCCGCUGGGCAGACACUUGUCGAGCUGCAGUGGUUGAAACUGGCGGGAGCUGAGUGCAGGGAGAGGGACUGUUUAUUUGGCUGCUCCACGAGGGGCCAGGCUGUAUAGAGACCACACAUAUGAGUUUGAAAUUCUUGCUUCGGGCCAUAUGGAGUGGGAAACUGAGGCACGAGGCGGGAAGUUAUGGCCUGACUCCCAGCAGCUGAGCUGAACCCGGACAGCGGUCUGCUUCCUUGCUCUGCUGUGCUCCCCUCUGCAUCAGGUGGCCUCGCCCAACACAGGACAACGACCAGCUUGGACCCCCCAGAGGCUUCCCAGAGUGGGUGGGGGCUGGAUUGGGGCCCACAGGUGUGUUCCCUGACUCGGGGGGCCUGCGCAGACCCCACUGUCUGCCCUCCUAGGCUUCAGCAGAGAGACUUGCCCUUUUAUCUUGUUCACUUGCUGCCAAUCACUCUUCAUCAGAGCCCUUUCCUUCAGGCUGCGGCCGAGGAAUUGUUACAUCUCCUAGAUUUUAAAAAAUGUAGGUUGCUUUUUCUUAAAAAAAAAAUUGUCUCUGAAAUAAGCUCACAAGCCCUUUCCAUAUUUUUACAAAGCUGUUAGCAAAUCCUCAAGGAAGGAUGUUGUCGUCAGCUUCAGGUAGGUGCGUUAGGAGACAGCCUGGGGCAGCACUGCGGCUCGGUGCGGGGAGGAGGGCAGGCUGAAAUCCAAGGGAGCUGGAACACCCACCAUUCCCCACCACUGCCAAGAUGGAGCCCACCCGGGGAGGCAGCAGGAUACAGGGCCAAGGAAACCCCCAACACCAGCUAACCCCAUGGGGGGUGCAGGGGAGCCUGAGAGAAGGGCUGGAUGCCAGUGGGAAGUCUUAAGGAAAGGGUUUCAUGUGCCUCAAAGGACCCAAUCAACAGAAUGAAAAGGCAACCCACGGAGGGAGAGAAAAUAUUUGCAAAUCACCUAUCUGGUAAGGGACUAACAUUCAGAAUAUAUAAAGAACACUUACAACUCAACAACAAAAAAACAAGCAACUUGAAUAAAAAAUGGGCAAAGGACUACAAUAGACAUUUCUCCAAAUGACGUACCAACGCCAACAUGCACAAGAAAAAGUGUUUAAUUCACUAAUAACCAGGGAAAUGCAAAUCAAAACCACAAUGUGCUGUCACUUCACACCCAUUAGAGUAGCUAUUAUAAAAAACAAAAAAAAAGAAAAACCUUCAAUAAACCAGAAAAUAACAAGUGUGGGAAAAUAACUUGCUGGCGGGAAUGGAAGAUGGUACAGCCACUGUGGGAAACAGUAUAGCAGUUUCUCAAAAUAUUAAACAUAGAAUGACCAUGUGAUCCUGCAAUUCCACUUCUGGGCAUAUACAUGAAAUAAUUGAAAGGAGGAACUCAAACAAAUAUCUGUACACCCAUGUUCAUAGCAGCAUUGUCCACAAUAGCCAAAAGGUGGAAACAACCUAAAUGUCCAUUGAUGAUAAAUGGAUAAACAAAAUGUGGUAUAUCCAUACAAUGAAAUAUCGUCCAGCCUUAAAAAGGAAGGAAAUUCUGACACAUGCUACAACAUAGAUGAGCCUUGAAAACAUACGUUAAUUGAAAUAAGCCAGAUGCAGAAAGUCGAAUACUGUAUGAUUCCACUAAGGUGAGGUACCUAGACUAGUCAGAUUCAUGGAGACAGAAAGUAAAAUGGUGGUUGCCAGGGCCUGGGGGAGGAGGGGGAAAUGGGGGUUACU
ensembl:lncRNA